CCAGCAGCCGCGGUAAUUCCAGCUCCAGUAAGCAGCGCCAACGUUGUUGCAGUUAAAAAGCUCGUAGUUGGAUUUCAGUUGAGAGGGUUGUGGUGGAAACACCACUGACUUGAUAAUCUCAACUUGUUUGGGAAGGUGUGUUUGGGAAACCCCUUCUCAUCUUUCACUGUGAAAAAAUUGGAGUGUUUAAAGCAGGCUUUAAGCUUGAACACAUUAGCAUGGAAUGAUAAGAUAUGACGAUGUGUCUAUUUUGUUGGUUGCGUCACGUCGUAAUGAUUAAUAGGGACAGUUGGGGGUAUUCAUAUUCAGUAGUCAGAGGUGAAAUUCUUGGAUUUACUGAAGAUGAACAAGUGCGAAAGCAUUUACCAAGGAUGUUUUCAUUAAUCAA
rnacentral:rRNA from 1 species